rnacentral:rRNA from 1 species
UACGUAGGGUGCGAGCGUUAAUCGGAAUUACUGGGCGUAAAGGGUCCGCAGGUUGUUUUGUAAGUCAGAUGUGAAAGCCCCGGGCUUAACCUGGGAACUGCGUCUGAAACUACAAGGCUAGAGUAUGGCAGAGGGGGGUGGAAUUCCGCGUGUAGCAGUGAAAUGCGUAGAUAUGUGGAGGAACACCGAUGGCGAAGGCAGCCCCCUGGGUCAAUACUGACGCUGAGGGACGAAAGCAUGGGGAGCAAACAGGAUUAGAUACCCUGGUAGUCCAUGCCCUAAACGAUGUCAACUAGUUGUCGGGCCUUUACGGGCUUGGUAACGUAGCUAACGCGUGAAGUUGACCGCCUGGGG